rnacentral:tRNA from 1 species
GCGCUCGUGGUGGAACUCAGGUAGACACACACGGCUCAGACCCUUGUGCCGAAAGGCGUGGGGGUUCGACUCCCCCCGAGCGUA